AUUCAAUAUUACAAAAUCAUCUAAUUUCUAUUAUUAUUCAGUGCCAAAAGAUGGAUCGAAUUCUCUGGACGCAAAGAUCUUGACCUGGGUGCUUCGAAAGACUCUAUAGUCUACUCAUGUGAAUGGACCUAAAUCAGAUGUUCUUCCUGAAUCAGAGUCUGAGAUGAUCAUCCAUGAAGAAACUGUUCAAACGGAUCAAAACGUACCUCUAUCUAAUAUUGAAAGAUUCUGCGUUUGCUGUCAACUCAAAUGAAAAUUUUUCAAAAGAGGACACAUGAAUGCAAAUCAUAUUUAUAUUACACUGGAAUCAGAAGGUUUUAUAGAAGCAACUAGCAGUUCGGCUACCCCCAAACGUAGUGGUAGUAAGCUGAGCCCCUUAACCAACCAGAGAAUUAAAAGAAUGAAGGCUGAAAUCAAUACAAAAAAUCAAAAACUCCGAAAUCUCUGCAAUGAAUAAUGAUUCACAUUUAAGAUAUUUUAUUACUUAUUUUUAUGUAUAUAUUCUUCUGUACAUUUUAUUAUGUUUAUUUAAUUGAAUUAAAAAUUCCACUAAUUUGACAAAGCAUUUUUAUUUAAAUAAUCUCUUAAUAUGUUAAUAUUAUAAUAUGGUAUAAAAAAUAGAAGCUACUAGUGAAUGUGGAAUACUGUGAAGAUUUGAAAUUCGCGCCAAAUAUAGAUUUCCUUUUCGUUAGAUGAUUUCAGCGCCAUCUGUUGUUUCAGUUGUAAACGGCCGAGCCUAAAAGUGGGUCGCUAUUUAGCACUAGAGUUAGUACGGCGUUUCCUAUCUUUCUCUCCCUA